rnacentral:rRNA from 1 species
CGCCUGGGGAGUACGGGUGAGGUAACGGCUCACCAAGGCAUCGACGGGUAGCUGGUCUGAGAGGACGAUCAGCCACACUGGGACUGAGACACGGCCCAGACUCCUUCGGGAGGCAGCAGUAGGGAAUCUUGCGCAAUGGGCGAAAGCCUGACGCAGCAACGCCGCGUGGGGGAUGAAUGCCUUCGGGUUGUAAACCCCUUUCAGCAGGGACGAAAAUGACGGUACCUGCAGAAGAAGCUCCGGCCAACUACGUGCCAGCAGCCGCGGUAAUACGUAGGGAACGAGCGUUGUCCGGAAUUAUUGGGCGUAAAGAGCUCGUAGGCGGUUCAGUAAGUCGGGUGUGAAAACUCAAGGCUCAACCUUGAGACGCCACUCGAUACUGCUGUGACUUGAGUCCGGUAGAGGAGUGUGGAAUUCCUGGUGUAGCGGUGAAAUGCGCAGAUAUCAGGAGGAACACCAGCGGCGAAGGCGGCACUCUGGGCCGGUACUGACGCUGAGGAGCGAAAGCAUGGGGAGCAAACAGGAUUAGAUACCCUGGUAGUCCAUGCCGUAAACGUUGGGCACUAGGUAUGGGAUCAUAUCAACGGAUUCCGUGCCGUAGCUAACGCAUUAAGUGCCCCGCCUGGGGAGUACGG